UACGGAGGGUGCGAGCGUUAAUCGGAAUUACUGGGCGUAAAGGGUGCGUAGGUUGUUUGAUAAGUUAUCUGUAAAAUCCCCGGGCUUAACCUGGGCAGGUCAGAUAAGACUGUUGGACUUGAGUACAGGAGAGGGCAGUGGAAUUUCCGGUGUAGCGGUGAAAUGCGUAGAGAUCGGAAGGAACACCAGUGGCGAAGGCGGCUGCCUGGCCUGAUACUGACACUGAGGCACGAAAGCGUGGGGAGCAAACAGGAUUAGAUACCCUGGUAGUCCACGCUGUAAACGAUGUCAACUGGCUGUUGGCCAUAUGAAUGUGGUCAGUGGCGUAGCUAACGCGCUAAGUUGACCGCCUGGGGAGUACGAUCGCAAGAUUAAA
rnacentral:rRNA from 1 species